rnacentral:rRNA from 1 species
UACGUAGGGUGCAAGCGUUGUCCGGAAUUAUUGGGCGUAAAGAGCUCGUAGGCGGUUCGGUAAGUCAGGUGUGAAAUCUCCACGCUCAACGUGGAGGCGCCACCUGAAACUGCCGUGACUCGAGUCCGGUAGGGGAGUGUGGAAUUCCCGGUGUGAGCGGUGAAAUGCGCAGAUAUCGGGAGGAACACCAGUGGCGAAGGCGGCACUCUGGGCCGGUACUGACGCUGAGGAGCGAAAGCGUGGGGAGCGAACAGG